rnacentral:rRNA from 1 species
UGAAGGGCCGCGGUAUUUUGACCGUGCAAAGGUAGCAUAAUCAUUAGUUCUUUAAUUGUGAUCUGGAAUGAAUGGCUUGACGAGACACAGACUGUCUUAAAUUAGGAUGUUUUAUUGAAUUUGGUUUUUGAGUUAAAAUUCUUAGAUGUUUUUAUGGGACGAGAAGACCCUAUAGAGUUUAACAUUUUGCUUGCUUUUUUAUUUAGUUUGUUUGGUUUUAGUAAGUGGGCUUUUUGUUUUGUUGGGGUGAUGAGAGGAAUAGGUUUAACUCCUCUUUGUUUUAGUUAUAUUGAUUUAUAUUUAUUUGAUCCAUUUAUUUUGAUUAUAAGAUUAAAUUACCU